rnacentral:lncRNA from 10 species
GAAUAAUGUGAGCUCUGAGGAAAACUCAUACUGUAGACAACACUGGAUAUCCUGGAAAUCAUUUUGGAGCUGCUGGGAGUCUGGAGAUGGGGGUGGGAGAAGGAAUGUUCUCUGGAGAAAUCUGUAUGAUAGAAUAGUGAAGGUAACUGGCCUGAACUACAGCUCUUGAGCCAUCUGGUUUCACCUUCAGGGAGGUCCCACUGAAGCUGAAUGACUGUGCAGGUUGAUACACUGGACAUUUUCGGUGAAACCUGUGUGAACAGACAACUGGAGGGUCAGAUGAUUUAUCCUCUCCCCAGUACCUUGGCACAAGCCUAGGCUACAGAAUGAGAUGCACGUAAGAAGUCUGUGACCUGGACCAGAGCAGCCCAGCUGAACACAUGCUGGAUUGGAAGAACCACCUUUGACCUGAAGACCUUGAGAAAGGAGUUUGGAGACAGAAAGACGGAAGAGUUGAUAUUCCGCUCACAGAUGUCAAUUUUCAAAGAAAUUUCUGCCCAUUAUGGAUGCACCACAAAUACUAAAGUCUAUGCAAUAUAUAUUUUGAAAAGAAUUUUUUUCGUGAAACUGUAAUUUUCGUUCAUAAGAGUAUAUUUCCUGACUUAGCAUUUUAUUGACUAGAUUAAAAUUUUGUUCCCCAAAGUAAGUGUGUGUGUGUGUGUGUGUGUGUGUGUGCACGCACACGUGUGUGUGCAUUCCUGAGGAUUAUUCUAAGGCUGAACUCCUUCAUAGAAAUGGAAUUUUUCUCUCUAUGCUCACAUUUUAAAACAGCUCACACAAGCCAGGCAGAAACUGCCAACCCCUUGGUUUCUAAUUCUUUGUGCUAGUUCUAUUAGAAGGGGCAAGUGUAAUCUGACAAUGGGAAACAAUACACCCUUUCUCAUAUUCUUUAUCAACAUACAUAAACUGGAAGAAAGAAAAAGAAAGAGAGGGGUACAGAGGGAGGAAAGGAGGAAGAAAAAAGAUAGGAGGGGAAGUAGGAAGAGAGGAGAAGGGGACUGUAGUGGGGGAAAGAGAGGAGAGACAGAAUCUUUCCACUAAAGUUAGCAUCUGAGAGAGAGGCCCACGGAAUUGAUUUUUUUUUUUUUAUCCCUUUGGCAAACCAGCAUUUGGUCUUUGCUUUGGUUAUCCUGAGAUAGUGCUUUGUUUACCUGAGCUAGCUGGCCAUCUCAGCUGUGACAAUUUAAAAUUAGGCCACUAUUUAUAAUUCAAGCUAUGUGUAAACAAAACAAAACACAAUACAACCAAUGAAGGAGGUUUGUUUGUUUGUUUUUUUAAAAGGUAGGGGCAUUUUGUAAAUCAGACAGAGAUAGCUUUCUUGAAUAAAAUGACAUUUUUAGUUAUUUCUUUGUCUUGAACUUUCUCCUGAGACACCUUCUGGCUCACUAGUCACGAGGAACUGAAGAGGAACUGAAGGAAUUCUAAACAUCCCCAAAGCCUCUAGUGAUUCUCCAGAUGUGUCUUUUCAAGAGGCUGGCGACUUGUAGGGAGGGUGGAUAUACCUUAAUUAUUCAGUCACUUUUAACGUUUUACCUAAACUAUUUGUCAAAUAAGUAGUUUUUGCAUUGCUUUAACUGUAUACAGCCAUCAUUUGAUUAUACAUUCUAUCAAAGAUUGAUUGCCUGAUUUCAGGUUUAAUUUUAAGAUUUAAAUGACUGACUCCUUAGCUUGCUCAGUUGUAUUCUUUGUCUCUGAUUACUUACUCCAUAGAACACUGCUUACCUUUAAAUAAAAUGUAUUAAACUCCUUUGUUUUCAGAAUCUCUAAUAUUCAUGCCUAUUGGGGAUUCAUACCCUAAUAACUUGGGCUACUAGUCUGUCAUAAAAUAUAAACUCCAGCCAUAUUAAAUAUGGUAGACUUGCCCUAAAAGUCAGAUUUAUACCUUCAAUAUACCAUGGAAUUUGUAAUACAAAUAAAUUCCUUUUUUUAUAUUGGUUUUAAAAUAAGAAAUUGUAGUCUCUUGAGUUCUAGAGUUUCUGUAAGAACAACAGAAGGAAUGCUCAGCUAAUGUUUAGUACCCAUAUGCUUCAUUAAAGUGACCAGAUGUCCUGCAUUUGUCAAGGGAAAAGGGGAAUUGUUUUCUUCUCUCUCAAAUAUCUCCUUCAAAAAGUCUAUCAUGGAUACAUUUUGUGCCUUCACUGCCCUUUUUAAAUAAUUAUUAUUCAUGCCUUACUAUAAGAACAUUACAACUGGUAACAAACUGCUUUUAAACUUGGGGUUUCAGAUUUUCUAAAG